rnacentral:rRNA from 1 species
UAGAUACCCUGGUAGUCCGCACAGUAAACGAUGGAUACCCGCUGUCCGGCCCGUACGGUCUGGGCGGCCAAGCGAAAGCGUUAAGUAUCCCACCUGGGGAGUACGCCGGCAACGGUGAAACUCAAAGGAAUUGACGGGGGCCCGCACAAGCGGAGGAACAUGUGGUUUAAUUCGAUGAUACGCGAGGAACCUUACCCGGGCUUGAAUUGCAGGAGAAUGAUUCAGAGAUGAUGAAGUCCCUCGGGACUCC